rnacentral:misc_RNA from 1 species
GAAAAAACAUCUGCCCUCAGUCUCCUCUCCGGCUUUACUGCUGCUCAUUCCCGCCCCUCUCCCAUCUAUCUCCCACACUACUCGCCUCUAUUCUCAGUCCCUAGUUGCGAUGACCACCAGCUUCGCAGCAAACGCAGAGAUAUCGCGUGUUUUUGCUGCCUCUAUCAGACCCUCUUCUAUUAAACCCAGACCAACCCCACCACCCUUACUUGGUUGCACAUUUAACCGCUUAUCCUAUAGAUUUCCGCUUCUUUCUGCCGCUGCCAAUAGCAAGAGCGGCGUUUUUUCCAUGUCGAAGGAAACUGGCAGAACAAUAGCUGAUGGGGCUGGAGGCCUCACUUAUAAGGACGCUGGUGUUGAUAUAGAUGCCGGGUCUGAGCUUGUUAGGAGAAUUGCAAAGAUGGCACCUGGGAUUGGAGGAUUUGGGGGCCUUUUCCCUCUUGGUGAUUCAUACCUUGUUGCCGGCACAGAUGGUGUAGGAACUAAACUUAAACUUGCAUUUGAAACUGGAAUCCAUGAAACUAUUGGGAUUGAUCUGGUUGCGAUGAGUGUUAAUGAUAUUAUUACUUCUGGUGCAAAACCACUAUUUUUCCUCGAUUAUUUUGCUACAAGCCGCCUUGAUGUUGACCUUGCUGAAAAGGUUAUAAAGGGCAUUGUUGAUGGCUGCCAACAAUCUGACUGCACUCUUUUAGGGGGAGAGACUGCAGAGAUGCCAGAUUUCUACGCAGAUGGCGAGUAUGAUCUUAGUGGUUUUGCUGUGGGAAUUGUUAAAAAGGACUCAGUAAUUGAUGGGAAAAACAUUAAGGCUGGGGACGUUCUCAUUGGUUUGCCGUCAAGUGGAGUCCAUUCUAAUGGCUUCUCUCUUGUAAGAAGGUUGAUGUUGGUUGAUGGAUUCCUUACUUGCUUCUCCAUUUGUAAAAACAUUGUCUAAUUUGGAUGAAUGUUUAUUUCACUUUAAAAUUUUGUUACUUCUAUAGAAUGUUCUUUUUAAUGGAUAUAUGCAUGUAUUUAUAGGGUUCUGGCCCGAAGUGGCCUUUCCUUGACAGACAAACUUCCUGGUGAAGGCAUUACAUUAGGGGAAGCGCUUAUGGCCCCAACUGUGAUAUAUGUCAAGCAGGUGCUAGACAUAAUUAGCAAGGGAGGUGUAAAGGGCAUAGCCCACAUCACUGGAGGUGGUUUUACAGACAAUAUACCUCGAGUUUUUCCAAAAGGCCUUGGAGCUGUUAUUUACAAUAGCUCCUGGGAUGUCCCAACUGUAUUCAAAUGGAUCCAAGAGGCUGGAAGAAUAGAAGAUGCCGAGAUGAGGCGGACUUUUAACAUGGGCAUUGGCAUGGUUCUAAUUGUAACUGGGGAAGCAUCCCACAGAUUGCUUGAGGAUGGACAUUAUAAAGCAUUUCGCAUUGGUGAAGUUGUAAGAGGUAAAGGAGUGAGCUAUAACUAAAGCAUGCAAUCUUGACCCAUUCAAUUUAAGCGUGUUUCCUUAGAUGAGAAAUACAGCAAAUUGUAGCUUUUUUCAAUAUAACUUGGAAUGCUGUCUAAAGUAUAUCCAGAGAACUAAAACCUAGCGCUUCCUAUAAAAAUAAAUAAAAAAAAGUUUCUUUCUUUGAUUUUAGAAGGUGGGUAACAUAAAAGAGGAAGUAACUCCCGGGCACCUAAUACUUCCUUGUUGGUUUUUGGUUUAUGGAUAUAUUUCCCUUUAAAACCUCUCAUUGUAAUGGUUGUAACUUGUAAGUUGUAACAUUGCCUCAACAGAAGUGAACUGGAGUCAAAAAGUUGCAGAAAUGAGUCUUUUUAACAUCAUGGCAUUUUUUAUUUUUUGAAUAUACAAGUCUUGGUAACUAAGCAGCAAAAAAGCAUGGAAAAUCCAGCAGUUAAUUUUCAAUCUAGUAAAAGUUCAAAUUACUUUGGUUUCAAUUUGCGAUCUUUAGAAAGAAAUUUUAAAUCAACGGAAGCAAUUCAUGUUGGAAACUGAAAAGUACUUAAUUCCAAAGCAUUGUUGAUCCAGAAUUGGCAAGGCUCUACUUGUUACUUGUUAGUGGUACGAGUUCUCUAUCCAGUAAAACUGUGUCUAACUCCUAGUUUCUAGAUCCUGUACGCCCGCCAUCACUGAUUGCGACCACUUCCUUUUCUUAGCUGUUGAGUUUUUGCUGCUUUCCUUCGGCAGCAGAUCUCUCCAUCCCACUGCGGCUAUCUUCUUGAGAGACGGUUCUCUCCUUGCAUGAGGUUCGCUGGCUCCAUAUCUUGUGUUCGAUGUUUCUGCGUCUGGUACAUGACCGGCUUGUUAGAUGGGGCUUAGUCGCUUCCUUCACUGCUGGGUUAUCUUUAACACUCUUCCAGGCUCUCUCACUGGGUAACAAACGCAUUCUAUCCUGUAUUGGAUGUGUCCCCAGCAGUGAAGUCAUCAUAUUCUGCUCACUCCCAUCGAAUUUUCUUCUUGGAUGAACAUAAUCUGAAUGCUGCCCGUUGCAAUGGGCCACUGGUUUUGACAAGUUCUUGUUUUUCCCCAUUGAUUGUCCAGACUCAAAUUUGAUACCAUUCUUCAUGAACUGGCGCCCCUGCUCGAUGUGCAAUCUUUUCUUAUGACAGUGAACCAUUUGUGUUCCACUUCUACCAGUGGCAUGAUUUUUCUCAGUCUUCAAGUUACUCCCGUACUGAAAACCAUGCUGCCCAUUUUCCAAAUCAUAGAGGUUCAUAUAAGAAAUUCUGGAUUUGGACAAACUGGCCGCGAUAUUUCUUGGUGGAUAUCUUAGUGGAGGCACAACUAUCACCUGGUUUGGGGCAGCUAAAAGAUUGAACCCCAAAUUUGCAUCUUUCAGCCCCUUUCUCGGGGGCUCUGAUUGUACCCUGUUGAUAACCGACAAUGACGAAGCAGGAAUGUUUUCCUUGCACUUCUCACUGAGGGGCUCUUGCCUUACAAGGGAUGCUUGUUGUUCAAGAUGGAGAUCCAGUUUUCUCCAAUCAAUUCCUUUCUCCUGAAGAACAACUUCUCUUGGUCUGGCAGACCCAAAGGGAUUUGGUUUCUCCUUUUGCUGCACUUGAGCCCUAGCUUUUUCUUCAUCUUCUUUCUCAACUUCAUCUGCCCAUGAUGAAAGCAUUGCAGGACCAAGUUUGCCUUCACUUUCCAUCAUCUCUCUCUCUCUCUCU